CCUGUAUUAUUAUGUUGUCAUUUUAAUGUUAUAUUUAAUAAUGCCAUCAAAGUGCGAGGUUUGGCAUGCCACAAAACCAGGUUCAACCCACCAUUUUUUUUUUUAAAAAUGUCCUGUACCAAGUCAGGAAAAUGGCCAUUGUUAUAUCAUAGUUCGUUUCUGUGUGUGUAACAUUUUUACGUUGUGUUUCCGUUGUGUCGUUUGUUUU
rnacentral:lncRNA from 1 species